CAUGUUGUUCUUCAUCCUCCUGCUAGAGGUGAUUUGGAUCCUGGCUGCAGACGAGGGUCAACACUGGACAUAUGAGUGCCCACAUAGUCAGGACCACUGUGGCCAGCCUUUUACCCUGAGUGUGGAAACAAUACACAGUCCCCCUUCGAUAUCCGGACAGACAGUGUGACAAUUGACCCUUAGAUGACUGCUCUACAGCCCCAUGGAUAUGACCGGCCUGGCACUGAGCCUUUAGACCUGCACAAGAAUAGCUACACAGUACAACUGUCUCUGCCCUCUACCCUGUAUCUAGGUGGACUUUCCAGAAAAUAUGUAGCUACCCAGCUACACCUGCACUGGGGUCAGGAUGAUCCCCAGGGGGCUCAGAACACCAGAUCAACAGUGAAGCCACAGUUGCCGAGCUCCACAUCAUACGUUAUGGCUGUGAUUCCUGUGAUAGCUUGAGUGAGGCCGCUCAGAGGCCUCAGGGCCUGACUGUCCUGGGCAUCCUAAUUGAGGUGAGUGAAAGAAUGUAGCUUAUGAACACAUUCUGGGUCACUUGCAUGAAAUCAAGCAUAAAGAUCAGAAGACCUCAGUGAGAGAGCUGCUCCCCCGACAGCUAGGGCAGUUCUUCCUUUACAAUAGCUCGCUCACAACUUCCCCUUGUUAGUAGAGGGUGCCCUGGACAGUUUUCAGUCCAAGGGCCCAGAUUUCAAUGGAACGGCUGGAAAAGCUUCAGGAGACAUUGUUCUCCACAGAAGAGGGGCCCUCCAAGUCCUGAUACAGAACUACUGAUCCCCUCAGCCUCUCAACCAGCAAUGACCUUUGCUUUUUUCAUCCAGAUGGGAUCCUUGUAUCCUACAGGUGAAAUGCUGAGCCUUGGUGUAGGAAUCUUGGUUGGCUCUCUCUGACUUCUGCUGGCCAUUUUCUUCAUGGCUAGAAGGCUUCAGAACAAGAGGCUGGAAAAUCAGAAGAGCGUGGUCAUCACCUCAGCAUGAGCCACCACUGAG
rnacentral:lncRNA from 1 species